GCUGGGGUAGCUCAGUCAAUAGAGCACGAGACUAUUAAUCUCAUGGUUGUGGGUUUGAGCACCACGCUGGGAA